AUGGAUCCUGAUACUUGGACCACUAAUGGAAAACUUGAUGAAGAGGAUAAUGCUAAUCUGUGUCGGGCCUUUACGGAGAUAGAAGUUAAGGAAGCUCUGUUUGCUAUGGCACACAAUAGAGCGCCUGGGCCGGACAACAUUCCUAUAGAGUUCUAUCAGGUGUGUUGGGAUAUCGUGAAGGAUGAUAUUAUGCUCCUAUUUGAACACUUUCAUAAAGGGGAAUUGGAUGUACAACGUCUCAAUUAUGGAGUGAUUACUCUCCUCCCCAAAUCCGCGGACGCAGACAAGCUUCAGCAAUUCCGGCUGAUUUGCCUCCUGAGAUGUCCAUACAAACUUAUUACUAAGGUCCUAGAUAGGCGAGUUGAAAAAUAUGCUGAUAAGCUCAUAAAUAGGGCCCAGAACGCUUUCGUGAAAAAAAGGAACAUCAUGGAUGGUGUGAUGUCUUUGCAUGAGACCCUUAACAACACUCAUGUGAAAAAGUGGGUGGGUGUAGUUCUCAAACUUGAUUUUGAGAAGGCUUAUGACAAAGUCAACUGGGACUUUAUUCUUGAAUGUCAUAAGCUUCGAGGCUUUAAUGAAAAAUGGUGCGGGUGGAUUAGAAAUAUCUUGCAUAAUGGGACUGUGAGCAUUAAGUUGAAUAACCAAGUUGGCCCCUACUUCCAAAGUGCGAAAGGGGUUCGGCAAGGUGAUCCCCAUUCCCCUUUCCUGUUCAAUCUAGCUGUGGAUUGUUUAGCAAAACUGAUUACAAAUGCCCAAAAAAGUGGCCUGAUAGUGGGUCUAGCCUCUGAUCUAAUCCCUAAUGUAGUAGCAGUUCUCCAAUAUGCGGACGAUACCAUCAUAUGCCUGGAGCAUGACAUCGACAAAGUUGUUAACUUGAAAAUGCUUCUUUAUAUGUUUGAAUUGAUGUCAGGACUUAAGGUGAAUUUCCAGAAAAGUGAGAUUCUCACCGUGGGAGGUGAUGAUGAUGUGGUGAAUAUGUAUGCAGACUUAUUCCAUUGCGAAGUGGGUAGCUUUCCCACUAAACAUCUAGGGAUGCAUGUCAGCUACACCAAACACAGAAACUCAGAUUGGGAAUUCAUCAUUGCUAAAUAUCUGAAUUUUUUUGAAGCUUGGAUCGGUAAUGCAGCCUCGAUGGGGGGAGGCUGA
rnacentral:rRNA from 1 species